rnacentral:rRNA from 1 species
GACGAACGCUGGCGGCGUGCUUAACACAUGCAAGUCGAACGGAAAGGCCCUGCUUUUGUGGGGUGCUCGAGUGGCGAACGGGUGAGUAACACGUGAGUAACCUGCCCUUGACUUUGGGAUAACUUCAGGAAACUGGGGCUAAUACCGGAUAGGAACUCCUGCUGCAUGGUGGGGGUUGGAAAGUUUCGGCGGUUGGGGAUGGACUCGCGGCUUAUCAGCUUGUUGGUGGGGUAGUGGCUUACCAAGGCUUUGACGGGUAGCCGGCCUGAGAGGGUGACCGGCCACAUUGGGACUGAGACACGGCCCAGACUCCUACGGGAGGCAGCAGUGGGGAAUAUUGCACAAUGGGCGGAAGCCUGAUGCAGCAACGCCGCGUGAGGGAUGACGGCCUUCGGGUUGUAAACCGCUUUCGCCUGUGACGAAGCGUGAGUGACGGUAAUGGGUAAAGAAGCACCGGCUAACUACGUG